AAUGUAGUGCCUGAUUAAAGGAUUAUCUUGAUAGGAUAAAUUAAGUAAAUUUAUUUACCUUCAUUA
rnacentral:tRNA from 3 species